rnacentral:rRNA from 1 species
UGAGGAAUAUUGGUCAAUGGGCGCGAGCCUGAACCAGCCAAGUAGCGUGAAGGAUGAAGGUCCUACGGAUUGUAAACUUCUUUUAUAAGGGAAUAAAGUCACCCACGUGUGGGUGUUUGUAUGUACCUUAUGAAUAAGCAUCGGCUAACUCCGUGCCAGCAGCCGCGGUAAUACGGAGGAUGCGAGCGUUAUCCGGAUUUAUUGGGUUUAAAGGGAGCGUAGACGGGCCGUUAAGUCAGCUGUGAAAGUUUGAGGCUCAACCUUAAAAUUGCAGUUGAUACUGGCGUCCUUGAGUACGGUUGAGGCAGGCGGAAUUCGUGGUGUAGCGGUGAAAUGCUUAGAUAUCACGAAGAACCCCGAUUGCGAAGGCAGCCUGCUAAACCGCCACUGACGUUGAGGCUCGAAAGUGUGGGUAUCAAACAGGAUUAGAUACCCUGGUAGUCCACACGGUAAACGAUGGAUACUCGCUGUUGGCGAUAGACUGUCAGCGGCUUAGCGAAAGCGUUAAGUAUCCCACCUGGGGAGUACGCCGGCAACGGUGAAACUCAAAGGAAUUGACGGGGGCCCGCACAAGCGGAGGAACAUGUGGUUUAAUUCGAUGAUACGCGAGGAACCUUACCCGGGCUUGAAUUGCAGACGAAUUGCUUGGAAACAGGCAAGCCGCAAGGCGUCUGUGAAGGUGCUGCAUGGUUGUCGUCAGCUCGUGCCGUGAGGUGUCGGCUUAAGUGCCAUAACGAGCGCAACCCUCGUGUCCAGUUACUAGCAGGUUAUGCUGAGGACUCUGGACAGACUGCCAUCGUAAGAUGUGAGGAAGGUGGGGAUGACGUCAAAUCAGCACGGCCCUUACGUCCGGGGCUACACACGUGUUACAAUGGGGGGUACAGAAGGCCGCUACCUGGUGACAGGAUGCUAAUCCCAAAAGCCUCUCUCAGUUCGGAUCGAAGUCUGCAACCCGACUUCGUGAAGCUGGAUUCGCUAGUAAUCGCGCAUCAGCCAUGGCGCGGUGAAUACGUUCCC